AAUGAACGCUGGCGGCAUGCCUAACACAUGCAAGUCGAACGAAGGCUUCGGCCUUAGUGGCGCACGGGUGCGUAACGCGUGGGAAUCUGCCCUUGGGUUCGGAAUAACAGUUAGAAAUGACUGCUAAUACCGGAUGAUGUCGUAAGACCAAAGAUUUAUCGCCCAAGGAUGAGCCCGCGUAGGAUUAGCUAGUUGGUGGGGUAAAGGCCCACCAAGGCGACGAUCCUUAGCUGGUCUGAGAGGAUGAUCAGCCACACUGGGACUGAGACACGGCCCAGACUCCUACGGGAGGCAGCAGUGGGGAAUAUUGGACAAUGGGCGAAAGCCUGAUCCAGCAAUGCCGCGUGAGUGAUGAAGGCCUUAGGGUUGUAAAGCUCUUUUACCCGGGAUGAUAAUGACAGUACCGGGAGAAUAAGCUCCGGCUAACUUCGUGCCAGCAGCCGCGGUAAUACGAGGGGAGCUAGCGUUAUUCGGAAUUACUGGGCGUAAAGCGCACGUAGGCGGCUUUGUAAGUUAGAGGUGAAAGCCCAGAGCUCAACUCUGGAAUUGCCUUUAAGACUGCAUCGCUUGAAUCCAGGAGAGGUGAGUGGAAUUCCGAGUGUAGAGGUGAAAUUCGUCGAUAUUCGGAAGACACCAGUGGCGAAG
rnacentral:rRNA from 1 species